rnacentral:rRNA from 1 species
UGCCCUAUCGUCUGGAAUAACCUCGGGAAACUGAAAACAAGGCCGGAUAGUUAACAAUGCCUGGAACGGUUUGUGAAUCAAGGUAGGAUGGGUCUGCGGCGUAUCAGGUUGUAGGGGGUGUAACGGACCCCCUAGCCAUCGACGCGUACGGUUGUUGGAAGACAUAGCCCGAAGAUGGAUUCUAAGACACAAAUCCAAACCCUACGGGGUGCAGCAGGCGCAAAAACUUCACACUGCAGGAAAUUGUGAUGAGGGAACUCCAAGUGCUCUAUCACUAUGUGGUAUUUUUUCUUGACUAUUAAUCGGUCAUGGAAUAAGGGCUGGAAAAAACCGGUGCCAGCCGCCCCGUUAAUACCGGCAGCUCAGGUGGUCGUCGUUUUUAUUGGGCCAAACCCGUCCGUAGCCUGUUUGGUAAAUCUGUGGGUAAAUCAACCAGCUUAACUGGUUGAAUUCUGCAAAGACUGCCAAACUAGGGACCGGAAGAGGUGUGGGGUACUCUCGGGGUAGGGGUAAAAUC